UAGUCCACGCUGUAAACGAUGAGUACUAGCUGUUGGGCCUGGUGUAAAAGGUUUAGUGGCGCAGCUAACGCGAUAAGUACUCCGCCUGGGGACUACGGCCGCAAGGUUAAAACUCAAAGGAAUUGACGGGGACCCGCACAAGCGGUGGAGCAUGUGGUUUAAUUCGAUGCAACGCGAAGAACCUUACCUACCCUUGACAUCCUAAGAAGACGAAAGAGAUUUUGUUGUGCCUUCGGGAACUUAGAGACAGGUGCUGCAUGGCUGUCGUCAGCUCGUGUUGUGAGAUGUUGGGUUAAGUCCCGCAACGAGCGCAACCCUUGUCUUUAGUUGCCAUCAUUUAGUUGGGCACUCUAGAGAAACUGCCGGUGACAAACCGGAGGAAGGUAAGGAUGACGUCAAGUCAGCAUGCCCCUUACGCUCUGGGCUACACACGUGCUACAAUGGUCGUGACAAAGAGUUGCUAGUCUGCGAAGGCAAGCCAAUCUCAUAAACGCGGCCUUAGUUCGGAUUGCG
rnacentral:rRNA from 1 species